rnacentral:rRNA from 1 species
UACGUAGGGGGCAAGCGUUGUCCGGAAUUAUUGGGCGUAAAGAGCGCGUAGGCGGUCCGAUAAGUCGGCUGUGAAAGUCCAGGGCUCAACCCUGGAAAGCCGGCCGAUACUGUUGGACUAGAAUCCGGAAGAGGCAAGUGGAAUUCCCGGUGUAGCGGUGAAAUGCGCAGAUAUCGGGAGGAACACCAAUUGCGAAGGCAGCUUGCUGGGACGGUACUGACGCUGAGGCGCGAAAGCGUGGGGAGCAAACAGG